rnacentral:rRNA from 1 species
CGGACGGGUGAGUAAUGCUUAGGAAUCUGCCUAUUAGUGGGGGACAACAUUCCGAAAGGAAUGCUAAUACCGCAUACGCCCUACGGGGGAAAGCAGGGGAUCUUCGGACCUUGCGCUAAUAGAUGAGCCUAAGUCAGAUUAGCUAGUUGGUGGGGUAAAGGCCUACCAAGGCGACGAUCUGUAGCGGGUCUGAGAGGAUGAUCCGCCACACUGGGACUGAGACACGGCCCAGACUCCUACGGGAGGCAGCAGUGGGGAAUAUUGGACAAUGGGCGAAAGCCUGAUCCAGCCAUGCCGCGUGUGUGAAGAAGGCCUUUUGGUUGUAAAGCACUUUAAGCGAGGAGGAGGCUACUGAGAUUAAUACUCUAGGAUAGUGGACGUUACUCGCAGAAUAAGCACCGGCUAACUCUGUGCCAGCAGCCGCGGUAAUACAGAGGGUGCGAGCGUUAAUCGGAUUUACUGGGCGUAAAGCGUGCGUAGGCGGCUUUUUAAGUCGGAUGUGAAAUCCCUGAGCUUAACUUAGGAAUUGCAUUCGAUACUGGGAAGCUAGAGUAUGGGAGAGGAUGGUAGAAUUCCAGGUGUAGCGGUGAAAUGCGUAGAGAUCUGGAGGAAUACCGAUGGCGAAGGCAGCCAUCUGGCCUAAUACUGACGCUGAGGUACGAAAGCAUGGGGAGCAAACAGGAUU